GACGAACGCUGGCGGCGUGCCUAAUACAUGCAAGUCGAACGCACUCUCGUUUAGAUUGAAGGAGUUUGCUCCUGAUUGAUAAACAUUUGAGUGAGUGGCGGACGGGUGAGUAACACGUGGGUAACCUGCCCUAAAGUGGGGGAUAACAUUUGGAAACAGAUGCUAAUACCGCAUAAAACCUAACACCGCAUGGUGUAGGGUUGAAAGAUGGUUUCGGCUAUCACUUUAGGAUGGACCCGCGGUGCAUUAGUUAGUUGGUGAGGUAAAGGCUCACCAAGACCGUGAUGCAUAGCCGACCUGAGAGGGUAAUCGGCCACACUGGGACUGAGACACGGCCCAGACUCCUACGGGAGGCAGCAGUAGGGAAUCUUCCACAAUGGACGAAAGUCUGAUGGAGCAACGCCGCGUGAGUGAAGAAGGUUUUCGGAUCGUAAAACUCUGUUGUUGGAGAAGAAUGUAUCUGAUAGUAACUGAUCAGGUAGUGACGGUAUCCAACCAGAAAGCCACGGCUAACUACGUA
rnacentral:rRNA from 1 species